CUUAGUGGCGAACGGGUGAGUAACGCGUGAGUAACCUGCCCUAGAGUGGGGGACAACAGUUGGAAACGACUGCUAAUACCGCAUAAGCCCACGGUACCGCAUGAUACUGAGGGAAAAGGAUUUAUUCGCUUUAGGAUGGACUCGCGUCCAAUUAGCUAGUUGGUGAGGUAACGGCCCACCAAGGCGACGAUUGGUAGCCGGACUGAGAGGUUGAACGGCCACAUUGGGACUGAGACACGGCCCAG
rnacentral:rRNA from 1 species